rnacentral:rRNA from 1 species
AUGGUAGAGGCACGUGAUUGGAUCAACAAAUUUGAAAGUAUUAAGGAUUAUAGUGGAUGGAAUCCUAUUUUGGAAUUUGUCCCAGAUGGCAGUCCUCCUCAUGGUGUUACUUCCGUGUGGGGGAUUGCAGGGGUCGGGAAAUCAGCUCCAGUCAGAAGCUUUUAUUACAAGAGUAUGAUUGGUGAUCUUGAACCGGUCAGGAAGUACAGCUGGGUGGAUGUUCCCCAACCAUUCGAUUUGACAGACUUUUGUAGACAAUUAUAUAUGGAUUUUAAUUCGGAUGAUCUUGAAGAAAAAGAAACUGCAGCAGUUCGUAUGAUAGAAGGCCAGGACCCAAUUCAAGGGUGUCGUAAGUUUUUGCAGGAAGACGACUACUUUGUUGUUUUUGAUGGUUUAUGCUCCAUACAUGACUGGGAUCAGAUAAAAGAAGUGUUAUUAUCUGAGCCAAUUAAAGGCAGUAUAUUUGUCAUUACAAAUGAAAAAGGUGUCGCCACACAUUGUGUAGAUGAUCGAGAAGAUAGAGUGUUUAAUGUGAAAGGUCUUGGUGCUGACACGGCCCUUGCUCUCUUCACAAAGACAUGA